GAGUUAGUUAAUUAAGUGGCACUGUGUUAAUCUUGCAAAACUCCACUUUCACAGGCUACUCUUUGCUCAAAAUUUGAAUUCUCUGGUCUGGCAGUCAAAGCCUGUCAUCCUCUCCUUCCCAUCUAUCCUUCUAAUCAAGCUUCUCAGAAGGGGAAGCCCGGCUCUGGCCACUUAGGUGUGUGUCCUCCUUAUCCUCUGACCAAAGCUUGUCCUUCCUACAUGUGCUCCUUUGCUAGCACUCUCACCUGAAUGCAUCCCUAUGAUCCUUCCACCUUCCCUCUUUCACUAAGAGAAACCUCAGUCAUCUACCAGUCCUCCAGGUUCACCUCAAGCUCCACUCACACCUGCUGCUGGGAAGGCUCUUCUAGAGCCCCAAGAAGCCACACUAGAUCCUCCAGCCCUUAACCACCUACAGCUCUGGCAGGAUCGCUCCUGUGGCCAUUCACCUUUAUCCUCUUGUUAUUUAAUUGUUUGAAGGGCAAGCGUGUGUUUAUUUUGUUUUCCCACAACUGAGCUGUAAGUUCAUGAAGGGCAAGGGCUGUGGCUUAAACUUCUUUUGUGCACUUGAUGUAAAUAUUCGAAUGAUUUCUCAAUGAGUGAAUAAACAAAAGCAUAUUACUCACAUUGGCAAUGGUGCAAACAAAUAGCAUAAUAACAGUGGCGAUGUGGACCACAAAUAUACCAGCCAGCAAUACCAACAUCUUGGCUUUUGGUUUUUUGGUAACUUGUGAGCAAAGAGAGCUCUUCUCAAGGGUCCCAGCGACAGAGGCGCUCUGAGUGGCGGGUGCUGGCAGCAGCCCUGGUCCGCUCUUCUGGAGGUAUGCGACCGCACUGAGGGGAGGGACCUGCCUCCCGAGGUUAUAAGUUUCCCCUGCUGGUGUACUGGGGUGCGUAAUGGGCGGUUUCUUUUCACCGUGUUUUAAAGGAGUUUCUAUGAAUCAGUCUGGCUUUAAAAAAAAAAAAAAAAAGAUUUGUUGGUAAGCUACGCCCUGCUAAGCUGGCAGUCAGUCAAGAGUGGCUGGGAGUGAGCCAUCAAUUCAAAGAACCCUGUUGUAGGCUGUCUCUGACUCAGACACACAGACCACAGUGGAAAAAGGAGUGACAU